GUUAAUAAGGGCGCACGGUGGAUGCCUUGGCACUAGAAGCCGAAGAAGGACGUGACUAACGACGAAAUGCUUUGGGGAGCUGUAAGUAAGCGCUGAUCCAGAGAUGUCCGAAUGGGGGAACCCACUAGUUAAUGACUAGUAUCCAUAUCUGUUAAGGAUAUGAGAAGGAAGACGCAGUGAACUGAAACAUCUAAGUAGCUGCAGGAAGAGAAAGCAAAAGCGAUUGCCUUAGUAGCGGCGAGCGAAACGGCAGGAGGGCAAACCGAAGUGUUUACACUUCGGGGUUGUAGGACUGCGAUAUAGGAUUAAUCAUUAUAGAAGAAUUACCUGGGAAGGUAAGCCAAAGAGAGUAACAGCCUCGUAUUUAAAAUGAUAGAUUAACCUUAGCAGUAUCCUGAGUACGGCGAGACACGCGAAAUCUCGUCGGAAUCUGGGAGGACCAUCUCCCAACCCUAAAUACUCUCUAGUGACCGAUAGUGAACCAGUACCGUGAGGGAAAGGUGAAAAGCACCCCGGGAGGGGAGUGAAAUAGAACCUGAAACCGUGUGCCUACAACAAGUUCGAGCCCGUUAAUGGGUGAGAGCGUGCCUUUUGUAGAAUGAACCGGCGAGUUACGAUAUGAUGCGAGGUUAAGUUGAAGAGACGGAGCCGUAGGGAAACCGAGUCUUAAUAGGGCGUCAUAGUAUCAUGUUGUAGACCCGAAACCAUGUGACCUACCCAUGAGCAGGUUGAAGGUGAGGUAAAACUCACUGGAGGACCGAACCAGGGCACGUUGAAAAGUGCUUGGAUGACUUGUGGGUAGCGGAGAAAUUCCAAACGAACUUGGAGAUAGCUGGUUCUCUCCGAAAUAGCUUUAGGGCUAGCGUCGAUGUUAAGUCUCUUGGAGGUAGAGCACUGUUUGGGUGAGGGGUCCAUCCCGGAUUACCAAUCUCAGAUAAACUCCGAAUGCCAACGAGAUAUAAUCGGCAGUCAGACUGCGAG
rnacentral:rRNA from 1 species